CGCCUGGGGGGCCCCCCAUCCCUGGCUGUCCCCCAGCUGCGCGUCCCCGCCCCACCCCCGCGGCUGAGCCACCACCGGUGCAGUGGUCUCCGCUUGGCGGAGCGAGCCUUGAGCUUCGUUCCACAGCUUCUUUGCAUCUUGGAUUUCGGGGCGGCCCCCUCCCCCACCUCUCUCUGCCUUUUUGUACCCCGCUUUUUUUCUGCGUUCUGCUCGGUUUUUGUAGCCGUCUGUUUUUGCACCCCAUUUCGUUUUGUUUCUAGACGGUUUGGUGGGGGGUGAAGCUGCAUUCAUACCCCUUCCUCUUGUUAUUCUCCCCUGCUCUGACAGCACCCCUUUUCAUCGCAGUUGGGGGGCCUAGGAUCGGUGCAUCUUCCGCCGCGCUGCCAGCACCCCGCAGCGCGUGGUCGUGCACCCCGGAAUCUGCAGCAGCUGCAUAUCUGAGGGGGGUCUCCUUUGCCCGCGCCGCCUUCGCUCCCCGUGCUUUUGGGUGUGUGGAGGGCUUCAGCGCGCGGCGCCCCCGCUUCUCCGCAACCCCCCGCCCCGCGCCCGGACUCGCCCCGCGCCACCAAGAUGGUCAUCCAGAAAGAGAAGAAGAGCUGCGGGCAGGUGGUUGAGGAGUGGAAGGAGUUCGUGUGGAACCCGAGGACGCACCAGUUUAUGGGCCGCACCGGGACCAGCUGGGCCUUUAUCCUCCUCUUCUACCUCGUUUUUUAUGGGUUCCUCACCGCCAUGUUCACCCUCACCAUGUGGGUGAUGCUGCAGACUGUCUCCGACCAUACCCCCAAGUACCAGGACCGACUGGCCACACCGGGCUUGAUGAUUCGCCCCAAGACUGAGAACCUUGAUGUCAUUGUCAAUGUCAGUGACACUGAAAGCUGGGACCAGCAUGUUCAGAAGCUCAACAAGUUCUUGGAGCCUUACAACGACUCUAUCCAAGCCC
rnacentral:lncRNA from 1 species